rnacentral:lncRNA from 1 species
AUGGGAACUACUUUUAUGGACUUUUUCCCGACCGGAGAAGUUGCGUUUGGAGGAGGACACAAACAGAAGCUGAUUUCAUUCAUUAUAAUAUGCAUUUUCUCUUCGGGCGUUGCUGCAGAAGGUUUUGAUGUGGUACAAGUGAAACCCGGAGACGAUGUCACUCUGGGGUGUCUCGCUGGCGAAGGCCACAUCAAAGCUGUGGAGUGGACCAGAACUGACCUGGAGCCAGAGUACGUCCUCUUUUACAGCGACAGACGCUCAGAUCCAACCCAGCAGCAUUCAACCUUUCGGGGCCGGGUGCAGCUGGUGGACGGCGAGCUGAAGGAUAGAAACGUGUCUUUAAUUCUCAAGAACGUGAGCAGCAACGACAGCGGGACGUACGAGUGUCGAGUGUCCCUCGGUGGUUCGACGCGGGUUAAGAAAGCCCUCAUCGAGACUGAGCCGAUCUCGAGCAUCACACUGGAGGUCGCAGACUCAGGGCCCAGGAACGUCGAGGUCGGAAGCCACAUUCGUAUUGGACUGGCAGUGGGUUCUGUUUUGCUUGCUUGUUUGGCUGGAUUGGCUGUUGUUGUUGUCAGGAAAAUGAAGAGGACAUGUGGACCACAGUCAAGCAUCCUGUGACCUUCCCCCUCUGCUCUUCCUCCUGUACACUUAACAGCUGGGAUCAGGUAUCCAAUCACACAGCACCAGCCUCUUUUAAGGAAUCUCCAAUGUUACACAGACGACCUCCAGUUCUACAUCUCUGCCAAAACACCCAAAUCUCCUGUUUACACCUGCCAUAGUUGUUUUUAUACUGAUAUUUUUCUGGAAGUCGUUUUGUUACCGUGUAAAGAUUCUCAAUAAUGGAGCUAACCUGGAUUUAUGGAAACUAUUCUGUCACUUUAACUAGAGCUUUUCUAUCAAGUAGAAUAUAUAUAUAUAAAGCUUCUAGUCCUGCACUGGUUCCCCAUUUCAUUUAGACUACAUUCCAACGUUGUAAUGUUGUAAUUUUAAUAGCUAGUCUGGCUCCAAAGCACUGUUAACUCCUUACAGCCCAGCUAGGCCCUUAAGAGCAGCUCCCACCGACCAGACUGAGAACCAGAGCUGACCCUGCACUGUGCCUUCAGCAGAGCUACGCUUUAAUGUUUACCUUCAGUUAUUUUAUGGCAUUUAUAUGUUUUAACUUCCUGCAGUUAUUCUCUGCUGUUAUGUUUAUGCACUGACUAGAAUAUGAAAUAUAUGUAAAAUAUGUCUGAGUCAUUAAGAAUGAAGAAUUCUAUGAUAACAGUUAUUAGCUUUAACUUUUAAAAGAAUACACUCUAUAUUAACUAAUAAACGUAUUAAUAUUAUUAUUUAAGCCUCAACCUCUUGGAGGCACCAUGACACUUUGAUUGGGCUUUAGUCUUUUAUAUUGUUAAGACUUUUAGCAUUUCUUGUACAAAAGGGAUGCUCUGGAACAAAGUCGUACUUAUGUGCAAUUCUUUAGUGUCUCACAAUGAUGCAAAUGCUGUUUCAGAGGCAAAACUAUCUGUGAUAUACAGCUAUGGAAAAAAUUAAGAGACUACUGCAACAUUAUUGGUGGUUUUUAUACUUUUCCUCAUUAAAUAAGAUUUGGUUCAGGUGAUCACCCACUCAGUACCUCAUUAAGUAGCAUUAGAUGUGCUUGUGUUGGAGUUCAACAGACACUUGAAUGACACGAAGAGAUGCUAAUUUAAGUGGAGUGGUCUCUUAAUGUUUGUCCAGAGCUGUUUAUUCUGAAGAUUUAUUUAAGUAUUAUUAAUGUCUAUACUUGCCUCAACCUCUCGGACGCACUGUGAGUCAUUGGUGCAAAUGCUGAGGCAAAACUAUUUGUGAUAAGUUACCACACAUCAAGCCUUUUAGGGUAUUAUACUAUGCAAACAAGCCUUAAAUAUCAAGUAUAGUGUAUAAUAAUGCAGUUUACAUUCCUGUGUCAACUGUUUAUUGUUCGUUUAUCAGUUAGCCAGUUUAUUUAAUGUUUUUAAUGUGUAUUUACAUUUAUUUUUAUUAUACAGAUAAACUACAUAUUGCCAUUCAGUUGCAUGUUAUUAUUUUUAUUAUUAUUCAUCAAGUCAAGUCCGCUUUAUUGUCAAAUAUGCUAUAUGCACAACAUACAGCAUAGAUGAAAUUUCAGUACCUUAUGUGGGUAUUCAUGUGAUGUUGUUACAUUUAUAUUGUGUUUAUCAAGAAUAUACUUAAAAGAACAUGAAAAUAAAAGCUGUAAAUAAUGAAUAAUUAGUCUGUUUCAACUCACUUCAGAAAUCUAAUGAAUGUAUUUAAUAAUCAGAAAUGUUCCAAACUUUGUCCUAAAUUUACUUCAUAAAGCAACAAAACCUCAGUUUCUCACUGUUAAAUGUGGAGCUGAUCAUUUUAUAAAGGACAGUAACUCCUCCUUUUAGUCUACUACCACAUUCAGUCAGAUAUUGUUUUAUUACAGCGACUGUGUUUCCUUUUCUAAAUACAUAAUAACCUUUAAAUAAGUUUCCAGUCUGACACAGUCAGAUAAAAACUGCCUGUUUUUACAGAUAGAGGCAUAAAUGUGUGAAAGCAAACGGCUCUCUGAUUUCAGUUUCACCUGGAUUUUAAUGUUAAUACAUUAGCAUAUGAAGCUAAUAACUUUAAGUGCCAUUUACCUCAGUGUCUGGGUGUGUGUAUAAUUAUAGCUGUAUAAGAUUUGUGUUCGUACAAUAUUAAAGACCAGAGGAAGCUGAGAUCUGUUUCUGGGUCACUCUCUGAUCGGAGUUAUAGAUGAAGAGACUAGAGAGCUGUAACUGGAUAUAAAUGAGGAGCACAUAAAGCAGCAUAAUAGAUAUUUAUAGGAUAUUGAUCAGUAAUUGUUUAUGGGGCAGCAGCCAAAUCUCAUUUCCAUACAUGAGACGUUGUAUUGGUUCCACUCCAGGAAGAGUUAGACAAACUAUCUGAGAGGAUGUGGGAGUUCAAAUAUCACCAAAAGUGUCUUUAAAUGAUUCCUGGGAGUCUUAAGAGAUUUAAGGGAAAAGGUAAAGCAGAAGAAUGUGACAUUAAUUGUAAUUAAUUAUUAUAAUUAAGCAGUUAUGAAACAACAUGAUCAACUCCUUUAAUGCUGAAUCCUAAACGUGUAAAAUAAUAAAGGAUUAAAACAAACACUCCCAUUAAACUUUUCCAACUACAGUCCAACAAGUAGUGAGUAGACACUGAAAAAUUACCCUCAAAUUGCUUUUUCAAACUUUUAUAAGACGACUUCCACCUGUUUUGUCCCUUAUUAUAACUGUAUACAUUGCUAUUGAAUGAUUAAGGAUUAAAGUUAAAGUCUGGUGUUGACAUUGAGGUCUGAAUGUAAAUAAAUGUGUUUUAUUUUGUUAAAAUUAGUUAUCUUUUUAGUUUCCAUGUCAAUAUAAUGUGACUCAGUGCUUGUUUAAUCUAUAAUUAAUCCCAUGUGCUGUCCUAGACAUUUGUUGUAUACGUUUACAGUCUAUAAAGACAUUGUUUAAUAUUUAUUUAGAGUAAAGGAAGAAGGAGAAGAUUGAGAGUUUGAUCACACUGGUUUAAAUAAAACUAUUUCUGUUGGGGGAAAGUAAAGUAUGUGUGCACUGUAGUUUCAGGAACACGUUUAUUGCACAGUAAACUUUCACAUACAAGGAAUUUACUUUGUUAAGAUAGAGCAUAACAAUUAAACUUAUAAUUAAAUAUAAAUAAAAGAUAAAAACUAAAUAUGCACAAUAUGGUUGAAUUCUUAAAUGAGUGGAGAGCUGUAUGAGAAGUUAGCAGUGUGACACUUAAUAUUGACAAUGUGCAUUCAUUUACAGUUUGAAUUAUAGUAAAUUAAAUACAUAAUACAGACUGAACUGUAAAGAAAGAAUUCAUCAAAAUUCAUCAAAAACAACUUUUACACAAACUUCCUGUAGAGUUCACUAUUUUAUCCACUUUAUUAAACAUAAAAUAUGCAUAAAAUGUGUCACUUAGUUUAGGAGAUGAUAGAAAAACCUUUCAUGAAGAGGAGGAUGUUGAGCCAUCGACCCACCCCCCAUAACAACUUCCUCAAAAACAUUUAGUCUACAGUAGUCAGACCUGCAGCAGAGAUGCAGCUCUUCACACUAAUCCUACUUGUGGCAAAUGCAUCAGGUGAGUUCUAAUAAUAACGGAGAUUUUUAGUUUGUAGGAAUCAUUGCAGUUUAACAGCCCCGGAAGCGGAAGCCCUGACUCCGCCCACAUUGAGUUCUGCGGGCCGGCAGUCAGGGACACAUGGAGGAUUCUGGUUCUGAUUCUGGUUCUGAUUCUGGUUCUGAUUCUGGUUCUGAUUCUGGUUCUGAUUCUGGUUCCUCUGUGGUGCUUUAUCGCUACCUACUGAUCCGGAGAGUGAAUCAGUAAAUAGGCAAUCUGAACCCCUUAUAUUAAUUUCAAUAAAUUCCAAUCCUAUAUUCUAUUAAACAAUCCUGUGUCUAUUAAUAAAUAUAUAAUAAGCCCUCCACACACUGCUUGUGAAUUUACCUUAUCCAAUAAAUACUAAUGUGUUAUUUAAACCAGUGUGCUCUAAUAUUAGUCAAACUCCGUCCUCUCUUUAACACUUAUUAUUCUGUGGUGUGUUCUUCCCUCGCUGUCCCAGUCAAACAUUAGUUUUGCGCCAAAUUUCAGAUGAUGAUGUGUCAUGUUGACUUUAAUUUCCUCCUUCCUUGAUUAUAUCUGCUGCAAUCUAUUAACAGGGCUAAUAUUGUAUAAAAAACAACGUCAUAUUGCGAUGUGAUUGGCCUUUUAUUGAUUAGAAUCUGGGCCACAGCAGUAACUCCAUACAUGGGUCGCCAGCUCUACCGACUGAGCUAACCGGGUGCCCUACGAUUCACAAUUAAUGUGGCUAUUUUAAAAUCAAACACUCAAACUGAAGUCUAUUAAAGCUAUUUGCUUCCUCACAUUUGAGUUUUUCCUGUAUGAAUUUCCUGGGAGUGCAGCCUGGGAAUAAAGAGGAAUAAAGGGAAUAAAGAGGAAUAAAGAGGAAUAAAGGGAAUAAAGGAAAUAAAGAGGAAUAAAGGGAAUAAAGGGAAUAAAGAGGAAUAAAGGGAAUAAAGAGGAAUAAAGAGGAAUAAAGGGAAUAAAGAGGAAUAAAGAGGAAUAAAGGGAAUAAAGAGGAAUAAAGGGAAUAAAGUGGAAUAAAGAGGAAUAAAGAGGAAUAAAGGGAAUAAAGGGAAUAAAGAGGAAUAAAGAGGAAUAAAGGGAAUAAAGGGAAUAAAGAGGAAUAAAGGGAAUAAAGAGGAAUAAAGGGAAUAAAGGGAAUAAAGAGGAAUAAAGGGAAUAAAGAGGAAUAAAGGGAAUAAAGAGGAAUAAAGAGGAAUAAAGGGAAUAAAGAGGAAUAAAGGGAAUAAAGAGGAAUAAAGGGGAAUAAAGAGGAAUAAAGAGGAAUAAAGGGAAUAAAGAGGAAUAAAGGGAAUAAAGGGAAUAAAGAGGAAUAAAGGGAAUAAAGAGGAAUAAAGGGAAUAAAGAGGAAUAAAG